AUUGAACGCUGGCGGCAGGCCUAACACAUGCAAGUCGAACGAGUGGCGGACGGGUGAGUAAUGUCUGGGACACUGCCUGAUGGAGGGGGAUAACUACCGGAAACGGUCGCUAAUACCGCAUACCAUCAGAUGUGCCCAGGUGGGAUUAGCUAGUUGGUGGGGUAACGGCUUACAAAGGCGACGAUCCUUAACUGGUCUGAGAGGAGGACCAGCAACACUGGAACUGAGACACGGUCCAGACUCCUACGGGAGGCAGCAGUGGGGAAUAUUGGACAAUGGGCGCAAGCCUGAUGCAGCCAUGCCGCGUGUGUGAAGAAGGCCUUCGGUUUGUAAAGUACUUUCAGCUGGGAGGCGUUACCCACAGAAGAAGCACCGGCUAACUCCGUGCCAGCAGCCGCGGUAAUUC
rnacentral:rRNA from 1 species